CGGUGACCGGAGCGGGCUGCUCCGCACACGGACACGCAGUGCCCUGGCUGAGGCACGGACACACUGACGGGCGGAUCGGCUGUUUGUUGUCUCGGGAGGGUGAAUGGUCUGAUGUGGCGAUUGCCUUGAGGCGCUGGUGCUUGACGGGGCGGCGACGAGCGGCCGCGCACCCUGCGGGGACAGCCCGCUCCUCCCCGGUCCCUGUCGCCCAGCCCCGGGACGGGGUGGGGGGGUAAAGACGACGACAGCGGGGGCACCCGGCCGGGCGGAUCCGUGCUGGAGGCGCCGGCACGGCGGGGCCGGGGAACCUGUUCAGAAGCGAUGGAAUAACCUGUCCCGGGAGGGCUCCCGGGUGAACCACGAAGGGUGAAAACACGGUGGGGGGGAGCGCAGCGAGCGACGACCCUUCCGAAAACGCCGCUGUUUCGGUCUGAGAGAAGGGGAUGUUGGUUUGCACCCUGAAAUGGUUCCUUUAGGGAAAAGCUGCUGCUUGGGCCAGCAGGGACUCUAUUUACUGCACCAAUAUUCCAACGUUCUUAGCAAUGACCGAGAGGAACAAAAUAACCCCCCAAACCCAGCUGUAGCAGUGGCCGCCCGAGCCCGCGGGUGAGCUGCCCCCGACCCGGGCCCGAAGCAGACCCGGUCCCCCACGUCUCUACCGGCUGCGUUCGCGAAGGCGCAUUUCUCCCCCUUACAAACCACUGCAGAACCCAAAACUCCUCCGUAGCUGCGCAUGGCUUUAUUUAGCUAGAGCUCUGUCCGUGCGUAAUGUGUAUAAAGGGCUAAGCAGCUUUAUGUAUUUCAAAUAUUUAUAUAGCUCAACUGCGUAUAUGUACGUGUCGUUAUAUAAAGAUAAUGCAAAGA